rnacentral:rRNA from 1 species
GCUUGUCUCAAAGAUUAAGCCAUGCAUGUCUAAGUAUAAGCAACCUUAUACAGCGAAACUGCGUACAGCUCAUUAUAUCAGCAAUUAUUUAUUUGAAGAUCACCUAUUACAUGGAUAACCGUGGUAAUUCUAGAGCUAAUACAUGCGUACAGCCUCAACUCACGGAGAGGUGUAUUUAUUAGAUACAACCAGCCCUUCGGGUCUUUGGUGAAUCAUAAUAACUGAGCGAACCGCAUCGUAAGAGCGGUGGUUCAUUCAAGUUUCUGCCCUAUCAGCUUUCGAUGGUAGGGUAUUGGCCUACCAUGGCGUUAACGGGUAACGGAGAAUUAGGGUUCGAUUCCGGAGAGGGAGCCUGAGAAAUGGCUACCACAUCCAAGGAAGGCAGCAGG